CGGUUAAGUUAGAAAGGGCGCACGGUGGAUGCCUUGGCACUAGGAGCCGAUGAAGGACGGGACUAACACCGAUAUGCUUCGGGGAGCUGUAAGUAAGCUUUGAUCCGGAGAUUUCCGAAUGGGGAAACCCCCUCUUCGUAAUGGAAGAGGAUCCUUAUCUGAAUUCAUAGGGUAAGGAAGGCACACCCAGGGAACUGAAACAUCUAAGUACCUGGAGGAAGAGAAAGAAACUUCGAUUCCCUGAGUAGCGGCGAGCGAAACGGGAAGAGCCCAAACCAAGAGGCUUGCCUCUUGGGGUUGUAGGACACUCAAUACGGAGUGAUAAAAGAACGGAGUAGAUGAAGCGAUCUGGAAAGGUCCGUCAGAGAAGGUAACAACCCUGUAAUCAAAACUCUCGUUCUCUCCUGAGUGGAUCCUGAGUACGGCGGAACACGUGAAAUUCCGUCGGAAGCUGGGAGGACCAUCUCCCAAGGCUAAAUACUCCCUAGUGACCGAUAGUGAACCAGUACCGUGAGGGAAAGGUGAAAAGUACCCCGGAAGGGGAGUGAAAGAGUACCUGAAACCGUGUGCUUACAAGUAGUCAGAGCACAAUUAUGUGUGAUGGCGUGCCUUUUGUAGAAUGAACCGGCGAGUUACGAUCCUAUGCAAGGUUAAAGUGGAAACUGGAGCCGUAGCGAAAGCGAGUCUGAAUAGGGCGAAUAAGUAUAGGGUCGUAGACCCGAAACCAGGUGAUCUACCCAUGUCCAGGGUGAAGGUAAGGUAACACUUACUGGAGGCCCGGACCCACGCACGUUGAAAAGUGCGGGGAUGAGGUGUGGGUAGCGGAGAAAUUCCAAUCGAACUUGGAGAUAGCUGGUUCUCUCCGAAAUAGCUUUAGGGCUAGCCUCAAGAUAAGAGUAUUGGAGGUAGAGCACUGUUUGGACUAGGGGCCCUCAUCGGGUUACCGAAUUCAGAUAAACUCCGAAUGCCAAAUACUUAUGCUUGGGAGUCAGACUACGAGUGCUAAGAUCCGUGGUCAAAAGGGAAACAGCCCAGACCGCCAGUUAAGGUCCCAAAGUAUACGUUAAGUGGAAAAGGAUGUGGAGUUGCAUAGACAACCAGGAUGUUGGCUUAGAAGCAGCCACCAUUUAAAGAGUGCGUAAUAGCUCACUGGUCGAGUGACUCUGCGCCGAAAAUGUACCGGGGCUAAACGUAUCACCGAAACUGCGGAUAGACUCUGUUAGAGUCUAUGGUAGGAGAGCGUUCUAAAUGCGUAGAAGCUAGACCGAGAGGACUGGUGGAGCGUUUAGAAGUGAGAAUGCCGGUAUGAGUAGCGAAAGAUGGGUGAGAAUCCCAUCCACCGAAUGCCUAAGGUUUCCUGAGGAAGGCUCGUCCGCUCAGGGUUAGUCGGGACCUAAGCUGAGGCCGAAAGGCGUAGGCGAUGGACAACAGGUUGAUAUUCCUGUACCACCUAUGGAUUCGUUUGAGUGAUGGAGUGACGCAGGAGGAUAGGGUAAGCGCGGCGCUGGUCGUCCGCGUCCAAGCAAUAAGAGGGGUCGUGAGGCAAAUCCUUAUGACCAUAACCUCAAGUUGUGAUUGGCGAGGGAAAUUUAAGUACCGAAGUUCCUGAUUUCACACUGCCAAGAAAAGCUUCUAGCGAGAAUCCGGGUGCCCGUACCGCAAACCGACACAGGUAGGCGAGGAGAGAAUCCUAAGGUGAGCGAGAGAACUCUCGUUAAGGAACUCGGCAAAAUGACCCCGUAACUUCGGGAGAAGGGGUGCUCAUUAGGGUGUUAAAGCCUUGAUGAGCCGCAGUGAAUAGGCCCAGGCGACUGUUUAGCAAAAACACAGGUCUCUGCAAAGCCGAAAAGGCGAAGUAUAGGGGCUGACGCCUGCCCGGUGCUGGAAGGUUAAGAGGAGAGGUUAGCUUGAAGCGAAGCUUCGAAUUGAAGCCCCAGUAAACGGCGGCCGUAACUAUAACGGUCCUAAGGUAGCGAAAUUCCUUGUCGGGUAAGUUCCGACCCGCACGAAAGGCGUAACGAUCUGGGCACUGUCUCAACGAGAGACUCGGUGAAAUUAUAGUACCUGUGAAGAUGCAGGUUACCCGCGACAGGACGGAAAGACCCCGUGGAGCUUUACUGUAGCCUGAUAUUGAAUUUUGGUAUAGCUUGUACAGGAUAGGUAGGAGCCGGAGAAGUGGGAGCGCCAGCUUCCAUGGAGGCGACCUUGGGAUACUACCCUGGCUGUAUUGAAAUUCUAACCCGCAAGCCUUAGCGGCUUGGGAGACAGUGUCAGGUGGGCAGUUUGACUGGGGCGGUCGCCUCCUAAAAGGUAACGGAGGCGCCCAAAGGUUCCCUCAGAAUGGUUGGAAAUCAUUCGCAGAGUGUAAAGGCACAAGGGAGCUUGACUGCGAGACCUACAAGUCGAGCAGGGACGAAAGUCGGGCUUAGUGAUCCGGUGGUUCCGCAUGGAAGGGCCAUCGCUCAACGGAUAAAAGCUACCCCGGGGAUAACAGGCUUAUCUCCCCCAAGAGUCCACAUCGACGGGGAGGUUUGGCACCUCGAUGUCGGCUCAUCGCAUCCUGGGGCUGUAGUCGGUCCCAAGGGUUGGGCUGUUCGCCCAUUAAAGCGGUACGCGAGCUGGGUUCAGAACGUCGUGAGACAGUUCGGUCCCUAUCCGUCGUGGGCGCAGGAAAUUUGAGAGGAGCUGUCCUUAGUACGAGAGGACCGGGAUGGACGCACCGCUGGUGUACCAGUUGUCUUGCCAAAGGCAUCGCUGGGUAGCUAUGUGCGGAAGGGAUAAGUGCUGAAAGCAUCUAAGCAUGAAGCCCCCCUCGAGAUGAAAUUUCCCAUUCCUUUAUGGAAGUAAGAACCCUUGAAGAUGACAAGGUUGAUAGGUCCGAGGUGGAAGCACGGUGACGUGUGGAGCUGACGGAUACUAAUCGUUCGAGGACUUAACCUAUA
rnacentral:rRNA from 2 species